rnacentral:rRNA from 1 species
GGGUUGUGAGGUUAAGCGACUAAGCGUACACGGUGGAUGCCCUGGCAGUCAGAGGCGAUGAAGGGCGUGCUAAUCUGCGAUAAGCGCCGGUAAGGUGAUAUGAACCGUUAUAACCGGCGAUACCCGAAUGGGGAAACCCAGUGUGAUUCGUCACACUAUCAUUAACUGAAUCCAUAGGUUAAUGAGGCGAACCGGGGGAACUGAAACAUCUAAGUACCCCGAGGAAAAGAAAUCAACCGAGAUUCCCCCAGUAGCGGCGAGCGAACGGGGAGGAGCCCAGAGCCUGAAUCAGCAUGUGUGUUAGUGGAAGCGUCUGGAAAGGCGCGCGAUACAGGGUGACAGCCCCGUACACAAAAGCGCAUGUGCUGUGAGCUCGAUGAGUAGGGCGGGACACGUGGUAUCCUGUCUGAAUAUGGGGGGACCAUCCUCCAAGGCUAAAUACUCCUGACUGACCGAUAGUGAACCAGUACCGUGAGGGAAAGGCGAAAAGAACCCCGGCGAGGGGAGUGAAAAAGAACCUGAAACCGUGUACGUACAAGCAGUGGGAGCACAGGUUUACCUGUGUGACUGCGUACCUUUUGUAUAAUGGGUCAGCGACUUAUAUUCUGUAGCAAGGUUAACCGAAUAGGGGAGCCGGAGGGAAACCGAGUCUUAACCGGGCGUUAAGUUGCAGGGUAUAGACCCGAAACCCGGUGAUCUAGCCAUGGGCAGGUUGAAGGUUGGGUAACACUAACUGGAGGACCGAACCGACUAAUGUUGAAAAAUUAGCGGAUGACCUGUGGCUGGGGGUGAAAGGCCAAUCAAACCGGGAGAUAGCUGGUUCUCCCCGAAAGCUAUUUAGGUAGCGCCUCGUGAAUUCAUCUCCGGGGGUAGAGCACUGUUUCGGCUAGGGGGCCAUCCCGGCUUACCAACCCGAUGCAAACUGCGAAUACCGGAGAAUGUUAUCACGGGAGACACACGGCGGGUGCUAACGUCCGUCGUGAAGAGGGAAACAACCCAGACCGCCAGCUAAGGUCCCAAAGUCAUGGUUAAGUGGGAAACGAUGUGGGAAGGCCCAGACAGCCAGGAUGUUGGCUUAGAAGCAGCCAUCAUUUAAAGAAAGCGUAAUAGCUCACUGGUCGAGUCGGCCUGCGCGGAAGAUGUAACGGGGCUAAACCAUGCACCGAAGCUGCGGCAGCGAACGUAUCACUUAAAGCGAUUCAGCGGGUUACGAUUGACGGAGCGAAGCGACGUCAAAGCGUAUACAAAGUCGAGUCGGUUUAAGGAUACGUUCGUUGGGUAGGGGAGCGUUCUGUAAGCCUGUGAAGGUGUGUCGUGAGGCAUGCUGGAGGUAUCAGAAGUGCGAAUGCUGACAUAAGUAACGAUAAAGCGGGUGAAAAGCCCGCUCGCCGGAAGACCAAGGGUUCCUGUCCAACGUUAAUCGGGGCAGGGUGAGUCGACCCCUAAGGCGAGGCCGAAAGGCGUAGUCGAUGGGAAACGGGUUAAUAUUCCCGUACUUGGUGUUACUGCGAAGGGGGGACGGAGAAGGCUAUGUUGGCCGGGCGACGGUUGUCCCGGUUUAAGCGUGUAGGUGUGUGUUCCAGGUAAAUCCGGUUCACUUUAACACUGAGGCGUGAUGACGAGGCACUACGGUGCUGAAGCAACAAAUGCCCUGCUUCCAGGAAAAGCCUCUAAGCAUCAGGUAACAUCAAAUCGUACCCCAAACCGACACAGGUGGUCAGGUAGAGAAUACCAAGGCGCUUGAGAGAACUCGGGUGAAGGAACUAGGCAAAAUGGUGCCGUAACUUCGGGAGAAGGCACGCUGACAUGUAGGUGAAGUGAUUUACUCAUGGAGCUGAAGUCAGUCGAAGAUACCAGCUGGCUGCAACUGUUUAUUAAAAACACAGCACUGUGCAAACACGAAAGUGGACGUAUACGGUGUGACGCCUGCCCGGUGCCGGAAGGUUAAUUGAUGGGGUCAGCGCAAGCGAAGCUCCUGAUCGAAGCCCCGGUAAACGGCGGCCGUAACUAUAACGGUCCUAAGGUAGCGAAAUUCCUUGUCGGGUAAGUUCCGACCUGCACGAAUGGCGUAAUGAUGGCCAGGCUGUCUCCACCCGAGACUCAGUGAAAUUGAACUCGCUGUGAAGAUGCAGUGUACCCGCGGCAAGACGGAAAGACCCCGUGAACCUUUACUAUAGCUUGACACUGAACAUUGAGCCUUGAUGUGUAGGAUAGGUGGGAGGCUUUGAAGCGUGGACGCCAGUCUGCGUGGAGCCGACCUUGAAAUACCACCCUUUAAUGUUUGAUGUUCUAACGUGGACCCGUAAUCCGGGUUGCGGACAGUGUCUGGUGGGUAGUUUGACUGGGGCGGUCUCCUCCUAAAGAGUAACGGAGGAGCACGAAGGUUGGCUAAUCCUGGUCGGACAUCAGGAGGUUAGUGCAAUGGCAUAAGCCAGCUUGACUGCGAGCGUGACGGCGCGAGCAGGUGCGAAAGCAGGUCAUAGUGAUCCGGUGGUUCUGAAUGGAAGGGCCAUCGCUCAACGGAUAAAAGGUACUCCGGGGAUAACAGGCUGAUACCGCCCAAGAGUUCAUAUCGACGGCGGUGUUUGGCACCUCGAUGUCGGCUCAUCACAUCCUGGGGCUGAAGUAGGUCCCAAGGGUAUGGCUGUUCGCCAUUUAAAGUGGUACGCGAGCUGGGUUUAGAACGUCGUGAGACAGUUCGGUCCCUAUCUGCCGUGGGCGCUGGAGAACUGAGGGGGGCUGCUCCUAGUACGAGAGGACCGGAGUGGACGCAUCACUGGUGUUCGGGUUGUCAUGCCAAUGGCACUGCCCGGUAGCUAAAUGCGGAAGAGAUAAGUGCUGAAAGCAUCUAAGCACGAAACUUGCCCCGAGAUGAGUUCUCCCUGAGACUUAGAGUCUCCUGAAGGAACGUUGAAGACGACGACGUUGAUAGGCCGGGUGUGUAAGCGCAGCGAUGCGUUGAGCUAACCGGUACUAAUGAACCGUGAGGCUUAACCUUACAACGCCGAAG